rnacentral:rRNA from 1 species
UAUGUGAUCGUCUCUCGCAUAUCAAUAAGCGGAGGAAAAGAAACUAACAAGGAUUCCCCUAGUAACGGCGAGUGAAGCGGGAAGAGCUCAAAUUUGAAAUCUUAAAGGGUUUCCCUUUACGAAUUGUAGUUUAAAGAAGUGUUUUCUGUUGAGGUUUUGGUAAAAGUUCUUUGGAAUAGGACAUCAUAGAGGGUGAGAAUCCCGUAUUUGACCUUUACUUUCAACUUUGUGAUACACUUUCAAAGAGUCGGAUUGUUUGGGAAUGCAGUCCAAAAUGGGUGGUAAAUUUCAUCUAAAGCUAAAUAUUGGCGAGAGACCGAUAGCGAACAAGUACCGUGAGGGAAAGAUGAAAAGAACUUUGAAAAGGGAGUUAAACAGUACGUGAAAUUGUCAAAAGGGAAGCGUUUGACACCAGUGUUGUUUUUCUGAAAAUCAAUUAAAGAACUGUUUAUGCUAAGUUGUUUAGACUUUAUCAGCUAACUGUUUAGUUUUGAGCUUUUCUUUAAUGCACUUUUCAGUUAACAAGUCAACAUCAAUUUCUUUUGCUGUAAAAAAGCUUGAGGAAGGUGGCUUGAGAUUCGUCUUAAGUGUUUAUAGCCUCUUGCCUAUGCAGUCGGAGAGAUUGAGGUCUGCAGCGUAGAUCCUUCGGGGCUAAAUGCAUUUGUGCUAAGUUAUAGCACUUUAUAGACAACUUGUUGACUAUGAUUUGUCUUGUAGCUUACUCGCUUAUGUUAUUUUACCUACGCUUAGGAUGUUGAUAUGCAUGACUGAUAU